GUCCACGCUGUAAACGAUGGGCACUAGGUGUCGCGGGUAUUGACCCCUGCGGUGCCGACGCUAACGCAUGAAGUGCCCCGCCUGGGGACUACGGCCGCAAGGCUAAAACUCAAAGGAAUUGACGGGGGCCCGCACAAGCGGUGGAGCAUGUGGUUUAAUUCGACGCAACGCGAAGAACCUUACCCGGGCUAGACAACAGAGGACAACCCUAGAGAUAGGGUCUUCCCUUCGGGGACCUCUGGUUCAGGUGCUGCAUGGCUGUCGU
rnacentral:rRNA from 1 species